UAUAUGAUAAUGAAGGAAGGAAAAAUUCCUGAUGAAUUGGCUAGUUUCUUUCAUUCACAACCUAGUGACGUUGGAAGUGAACCUGAAUCGCCGUUAGAUGCUAGAGGAUCAUCUGGUGGUAGCAACUUGAAUAGCCAGUCUAAUAUUUAGACUUGGUUUCUUAUAUUGUAGACUGCUUUAGGUUAUCAUGAUUUUUGGAUUUAUAGUGUUGUAAAAACUUUGUUUCUUUUGGUUAUAUAUUGUGGUGUUGUAUUUGCUGUCAACUUGGACUUCUGAAUUUGCUUUGAUUGUUGUUACUCUUUUAUAGUUUUGUAACAGAUAUCAAAUGUUUGAUUACCAUUGUUUUUUAUGUUGUUAUUGUCUUUUUUAUU